rnacentral:rRNA from 1 species
GUACACGCUGUGACUAGCAUAUCAAUAAGCGGAGGAAAAGAAACUAACAAGGAUUCCCCUAGUAACGGCGAGUGAAGCGGGAAGAGCUCAAAUUCGAAAUCUUAAAGGGUUUCCCUUUACGAAUUGUAGUUUAAAGAAGUGUUUUCUGUUGAGGUUUUGGUAAAAGUUCUUUGGAAUAGGACAUCAUAGAGGGUGAGAAUCCCGUAUUUGACCUUUACUUUCAACUUUGUGAUACACUUUCAAAGAGUCGGAUUGUUUGGGAAUGCAGUCCAAAAUGGGUGGUAAAUUUCAUCUAAAGCUAAAUAUUGGCGAGAGACCGAUAGCGAACAAGUACCAUGAGGGAAAGAUGAAAAGAACUUUGAAAAGAGAGUUAAACAGUACGUGAAAUUGUCAAAAGGGAAGCGUUUGACACCAGUGUUGUUUUUCUGAAAAUCAAUUAAAGAACUGUUUAUGCUAAGCUGUUUAGACUUUAUCAGCUAACUGUUUAGUUUUGAGCUUUUCUUUAAUGCACUUUUCAGUUAACAAGUCAACAUCAAUUUCUUUUGCUGUAAAAAAGCUUGAGGAAGGUGGCUUGAGAUUCGUCUUAAGUGGUUAUAGCCUCUUGCCUAUGCAGUCGGAGAGAUUGAGGUCUGCAGCGUAGAUCCUUCGGGGCUAAAUGCAUUUGUGCUAAGUUAUAGCAUUUUAUAGACAACUUGUUGACUAUGAUUUGUCUUGUAGCUUACUCGCUUAUGUUAUUUUAUCUACGCUUAGGAUGUUGAGUCGUAGAGCACGCAG